rnacentral:rRNA from 1 species
AUUGAACGCUGGCGGCAUGAUUUACACAUGCAAGUCGAACGGUAACAGGCCGCAAGGUGCUGACGAGUGGCGAACGGGUGAGUAAUGCAUCGGAACGUGCCCAGUCGUGGGGGAUAACUACUCGAAAGAGUAGCUAAUACCGCAUACGAUCUAUGGAUGAAAGCGGGGGACCGUAAGGCCUCGCGCGAUUGGAGCGGCCGAUGUCAGAUUAGGUAGUUGGUGGGGUAAAGGCUCACCAAGCCAACGAUCUGUAGCUGGUCUGAGAGGACGACCAGCCACACUGGGACUGAGACACGGCCCAGACUCCUACGGGAGGCAGCAGUGGGGAAUUUUGGACAAUGGGCGCAAGCCUGAUCCAGCAAUGCCGCGUGCAGGAAGAAGGCCUUCGGGUUGUAAACUGCUUUUGUGCGGAACGAAACGGCUCUGGUUAAUACCCGGGGCUAAUGACGGUACCGUAAGAAUAAGCACCGGCUAACUACGUG